rnacentral:rRNA from 1 species
UACGUAGGGGGCAAGCGUUGUCCGGAUUUAUUGGGCGUAAAGAGCGUGUAGGCGGCCAGAUAGGUCCGUUGUGAAAACUCGAGGCUCAACCUCGAGACGUCGAUGGAAACCAUCUGGCUAGAGUCCGGAAGAGGAGAGUGGAAUUCCUGGUGUAGCGGUGAAAUGCGCAGAUAUCAGGAAGAACACCCGUGGCGAAGGCGGCUCUCUGGGACGGUACUGACGCUGAGACGCGAAAGCGUGGGGAGCGAACAGG